rnacentral:lncRNA from 1 species
AAAAUAAUUCAAUAAAAUUUAUUCUUUUAAUUACAUAAUUUUUCUAAUAUAUAACAAUUAAAAUAAUUUCAUUAUUUUAAGAUGGGACAUAAUAUUUAUUUCAUCACUCUCAUUGAGCAUACAAUAAUGGUAAACAAAUCCCAAGAAGGGGUAUUUUAAAAGAAAGAACACGUCAUGAUCAUGAUUAUGGUUGGCCCAGUAGAGUUUGUUUAUUGAGGAAAACGACAAAAGAAUCUGGAAAAGAGUUAAAAGGAAAUCAAUGAUAGUGAUGUCAUGGGAAGUGGAGUGAGAAGCAAGGUUCAGGGAAAAAGCGGAACCGUGGGUUUUGGUUUGGAGCGAGAGUGCGGGCAACUUGCAGUACUGGUUAGGUAAUUGGAAGGAAUGGGUUACAUUUCAAACUUGCAUCAAAGCGCGUGAAAACACUUCCUUACCAUCUUCAUUGACAUUGUCGAUAAAAUUUCAACGUUACUGUUGAUCACUUACCUCCAUUUAUUUGGACCGUUGUACUUGACGUGACUUGCAUUCAUAUUUUGAUUCAGAAUUAAAUUGUUGGAAAAGUACAAUAUUUUUAUGUUUAUUUUUCAAUUUCAUUUUUGACAUUUUAUGUAUGAGUAGAAUCAAUAAAUUUAUUUUUUUAUAAUUU